GACGAACGCUGGCGGCGCGCCUAACACAUGCAAGUCGAACGAGCGAAGAGGAGCUUGCUUCUCUGAGCGAGUGGCGAACGGGUGAGUAACGCGUGAGGAACCUGCCUCAAAGAGGGGGACAACAGUUGGAAACGACUGCUAAUACCGCAUAAGCCCACGGGUCGGCAUCGACCAGAGGGAAAAGGAGCAAUCCGCUUUGAGAUGGCCUCGCGUCCGAUUAGCUAGUUGGUGAGGUAAUGGCCCACCAAGGCGACGAUCGGUAGCCGGACUGAGAGGUUGAACGGCCACAUUGGGACUGAGACACGGCCCAGACUCCUACGGGAGGCAGCAGUGGGGAAUAUUGCACAAUGGGGGAAACCCUGAUGCAGCGACGCCGCGUGGAGGAAGAAGGUCUUCGGGAUUGUAAACUUCUUUUGUCAGGGACGAGUAGAAGACGGUACCUGACGAAUAAGCCACGGCUAACUACGUG
rnacentral:rRNA from 1 species